rnacentral:lncRNA from 1 species
CAAAAUUAUAAGUGUUGAAAUUAUGAGAUUAACAUUAAUCAAUAAAAUGCUAUACUGUUACUGAUAACUGAAAAAUCACGAAGAAUGUGAAAGAGUAUAAAUUUAUUAAUAAGUAUACAAAAAUAUUGUCAUUGAUUCAAAUAUUUGUCUGUUUCUUAUAAUAUGAAAAAGCCAUAUAGUUAAAUUAAACUUUAUCGUCAUUAAAAAUAUCAUUGAAGAAAAACUUAAACUCUACUUGUUCUUUAAACUGAAAUCUACAUAAUUGAUGAUACUCUAAAAUUGUUUUUUUCAAACUUUUUAGUUUGACCCAUUACACAACUUAUUGAGAUCCAUAUCUGAUAAAUCAAAAGCAGAAACUUUGUUUGAAUUAUUAUAAAAUAGAACAUGAAAUAUUUUAUAUGUAUUCAUUAUUGACCAAUGUUUUUGUAUUUGUUAUGAAUAGUACAUAUUGACACAAAUGAACUGUUUUCAGAAAACUUUUAUUUAUAAGCUGUUUUCCAAACAUUCUUAUACAUUUUUCCUAUUUGUCAUGACUUAUUUUAUUUGUUUUGCAACCCACUUAAAGGAUCACAAUCUACUAUUUAAAAAAUUCUGCUCUAAAAACCAUAACUUAACCUUGGAAGGGCCACACAGUCACACAAUAUGUAAAGAGAGGUGUCAUCUCCUCUCUAACAUCUAUAGUUGGGAUUAUCAGCAGUUUCAAAUAAGUGAAGAAAUCGAACUAAGAUGCUAGUGCUGUGUAAGGAACUCUGUAAUUUACUCGAUUCUUGUGUAGUAUAAGCAACUCUUCAGUUCUCUGUAAGAAAAUACCUAAAAUGAAGCCUUUUCUUAUCUUAGUCCAAAAAUAGACCUUUAAUGGGAGAGAUGCUGAAGUGCUAAUCACAGCUUGACUGAUGCCUGUCCAGAUGUAUAAGAUUUAAUGCCCAGAGCUGGUAUUCCAAUAAAGGGAUGAGAAACUGCUUCCUUGGUCAGUUCAUUUGCAACCUCAGUGCUCUUAUAUGCAUCUUAGUUUUCUUAAAAUUUAACCUGUUGCAUGGAGAAAGUGAAAAAAAUUAUGGUAUUAAUAAACCUACUAAUUAAGUAAUUAAACCUAAUUAAUAUGCAGAAAAUUAAAGUUAUCACAUUUCAAUUAAUUUUCACCAAAAUGUUUUGAUUUUUUUAUUAUUUAUCAUGUUUCAGUUUGUUUCCUAAC